UACGGGGGGGGCAAGCGUUGUUCGGAAUUACUGGGCGUAAAGGGCUCGUAGGUGGCCAACUAAGACAGACGUGAAAUCCCUCAGCUUAACUGGGGAACUGCGUCUGAUACUGGAUGGCUUGAGAUUGGGAGAGGGAUGCGGAAUUCCAGGUGUAGCGGUGAAAUGCGUAGAUAUCUGGAGGAAUACCGGUGGCGAAGGCGGCAUCCUGGACCGGCAUUGACGCUGAUGAGCGAAAGCUAGGGGAGCAAACGGG
rnacentral:rRNA from 1 species